AGCUUUCUGAAUCCGUGCAGAGAUUUUGUCAGACACCAACCUAUUAGGGCUGACCAGACUUCCAAGUGAAGUU
rnacentral:pre_miRNA from 1 species